rnacentral:rRNA from 1 species
GACGAACGCUGGCGGCGUGCUUAACACAUGCAAGUCGAACGGUAAGGCCCUUCGGGGUACACGAGUGGCGAACGGGUGAGUAACACGUGGGUGAUCUGCCCUGCACUUCGGGAUAAGCCUGGGAAACUGGGUCUAAUACCGGAUAGGACCACUGCCUGCAUGGGGGGUGGUGGAAAGCUUAUGCGGUGUGGGAUGGGCCCGCGGCCUUUCAGCUUGUUGGUGGGGUGAUGGCCUACCAAGGCGACGACGGGUAGCCGGCGUGAGAGGGUGACCGGCCACACUGGGACUGAGAUACGGCCCAGACUCCUACGGGAGGCAGCAGUGGGGAAUAUUGCACAAUGGGCGCAAGCCUGAUGCAGCGACGCCGCGUGAGGGAUGACGGCCUUCGGGUUGUAAACCUCUUUCAGCACCGACGAAGCGCAAGUGACGGUAGGUGCAGAAGAAGGACCGGCCAACUACGUGCCAGCCGCCGCAGUAA